UACGAAGGGGGCUAGCGUUGCUCGGAAUCACUGGGCGUAAAGCGCACGUAGGCGGAUUGCUAAGUCAGGGGUGAAAUCCUGGAGCUCAACUCCAGAACUGCCUUUGAUACUGGCGAUCUUGAGUCCGGGAGAGGUGAGUGGAACUGCGAGUGUAGAGGUGAAAUUCGUAGAUAUUCGCAAGAACACCAGUGGCAGAGGCGCUCACGUGGCCCGGUACUGACGCUGAGGUGCGAAAGCGUGGGGAGCAAACAGG
rnacentral:rRNA from 1 species